AGUUAAGUGACUAAGCGCACAAGGUGGAUGCCUUGGCAAUCAGAGGCGAAGAAGGACGUGCUAAUCUGCGAAAAGCUUGGAUGAGUCGAUAAGAGGCGUUUAAUCCAAGAUGUCCGAAUGGGGAAACCCAGUAGGUGAAGAACCUACUAUCACCCAGUGAAUACAUAGCUGUGUGAGGCAAACCGGGAGAACUGAAACAUCUAAGUACCCCGAGGAAAAGAAAUCAACCGAGAUUUCGUUAGUAGCGGCGAGCGAACGCGAAAGAGCCAGUUAGUGAUAGCAGUAAAGUUAGGGGAAUGUUCUGGGAAGGACAAUCGUAGAGGGUGAUAAUCCCGUACCUUAAAACUCCAUUGUGGUACUAGGCUAACAACAAGUAGGGCGGGACACGUGAUAUCCUGUUUGAAGAUGGGGGGACCAUCCUCCAAGGCUAAAUACUCCUGAUUGACCGAUAGUGAACCAGUACUGUGAAGGAAAGGUGAAAAGAACCCCGGCGAGGGGAGUGAAAUAGAACCUG
rnacentral:rRNA from 1 species